UUGAAGAAAAGGCAUUUUAAGAUUUUUUAAAAAUCUUGUCAGAAGAUCCCAGAAAAGUUCUAAUUUUCAUUAGCAAUUAAUAAAGCUAUACAUGCAGAAAUGAAUACAACAGAACACUGCUCUUUUUGAUUUUAUUUGUACUUUUUGGCCUGGGAUAUGGGUUUUAAAUGGACAUUGUCUGUACCAGCUUCAUUAAAAUAAACAAUAUUUGUAAAAAAAAAAAAAAAAAAAAA
rnacentral:lncRNA from 1 species